rnacentral:tRNA from 1 species
GCCUUGGUGGUUCAAUGGUUAAGCACUUGGCUACUAACCAAGAUGUCAGCAGUUUGAACCCACUCCUGGGCU